CCUACGGGGGGCAGCAGUGAGGAAUAUUGGUCAAUGGCCGAGAGGCUGAACCAGCCAAGUCGCGUGAGGGAAGACGGCCCUACGGGUUGUAAACCUCUUUUGUCGGGGAGCAAAGCGAGUCACGUGUGACUCAUUUAGAUUACCCGAAGAAAAAGCAUCGGCUAACUCCGUUCCAGCAGCCGCGGUAAUACGGAGGAUGCGAGCGGUAUCCGGAUUUAUUGGGUUUAAAGGGUGCGCAGGCGGGGGUGCAAGUCAGCGGUCAAAUUGCGGGGCUCAACCCCGUACGGCCGUUGAAACUGCAUCCCUUGAGUGCGCGAGAAGUAUGCGGAAUGCGUGGUGUAGCGGUGAAAUGCAU
rnacentral:rRNA from 1 species